GGUUGGUUCGCUUAGGGAUGUCCCUAGGGCUUUUUGCCCCUGAAAAGUUGGGAGCGCCGGAUUUUUGGUCCCUAGAGAUCCAGGGUCCGGGCUCACCUGGGAGAGCAGCCCAAGAGCUUGAGGCGCGCUUCGUCUUCCCCUUCUCAGGCAGGGUAACUAUACCCCAUUGUCUUCUCGCUGCGGGUUGACUGUGCCCCGGGGCCUUUCUCAGUUCACCCGAUCCCCCAUCUAGGAGGGGCUGGGCAUCGUGAAACUGGUUGGUCUCACUCAGAUUCCCUUCUCCCCAGGGCGCCCCCCCCCCCCGAAAUGUUGAGAGGGAGGUGUUGGUUAAACAAAUCAAGGGAGAUUGGUGGAGAAAAACUGUUUAAUGCCAAUUUAAUAAUUAACGUAAAAUUUUGUUGAUGGUGUUAGAGAGGACCUCUAGACUCAGACUGAACAUUGGGCUCCUUUUUCAUCAUCAUUAUUAUUAUUAUUUAGUUUUUUUGUCACCUGCUGUACUAAAAGCUCUUUGUAUAAAUGAAGAGCGGUUACUUUCCGGUACCCCUAAGACAGGCUCCCUGUUUUAAACAACUUAGCAUAUUAAUGUUUUCCUUUUUGUGUGAAUGCCACUUCCCGAUAGGACAAGCUCUCUUACACACAGUAGGCACCCAGUAAGUAUAAUUGACUGGAUCAGGUGUGGCUAAUCUACUUUGGACACAAUUUGCACAUUUCUUCAGUCAAUAUUUGGUUAAUGACCUUACGCCUGUAGAACAAAAGGUGCUGAUGUGGGAGGGCUUAUCAAGGGGCCGCCGAAAGUACGUGUGGCUAGAUUCUUUGCUGGGUGCCACGUCGCCCUCUCUCUUGCUUGUAAUCGGAAGCUCUAGCAAGCCCUGGCAAACCCUCCUUUCAGUGAGGGCUAAAAACUCGGAUCAGCCUUUGUUCCAUGACAAAGGAGAGUAUCACGUGCCUCGCCGGACUGUGCAUUUCACGGCUUGCAAAAGCAGCGGUGAAUGUGCCACUAGGUUGCUGGGACACAGGGAAAGCCUUGGUUUCGGUCACAGCGUCUAGUCAGUCACCAGGCAAUGAGCUGGUGAAAUUUAACUCCAAACCCCGCCUUAUGUGAAAGGGAGGAUGUUUUAACUGAAAUCCUUCUGCCGCAGAGCAAGGAGUCUCCGAUAUUUAUUUGAAAUGCAGAUUAAAUUAAUCACUGUUGCUGCUAACCUCUGGCGCUGGCAGUGAAGCCUGGCCCCUGAGCGACAUCCCUAGGGUGGCCAGCUCCCAGUUUUCAAUUUGAGACAUUUUUUUUUUCAGGUUUUGGGAAGGGUUAUAAUUUCAAGAUUUCAAAUGAGCAGAUAGGAUACCCAAUGUCCUUUUCAGUUUUAAAUGUUAAGAUACUUCCUUAAAGCAGGCUGUGUGAAGCCAGAGACUCAGCAUAUCAGGCCAGGCUGUGUGGUCCAGCAAACUCUUAGAUCUCAGUCACCACGCAAGUCACCAUGCAGACACACGGCCCCUACGCCUCCCUCCCCCUGUUUUGAUUGGUUUUGAGAUAAGCCCCACUAUGAACUGCUGACUGGGCUGGGUUUUUGUUGUUGUUGUUGACUAGAAUUUAGAGAGACCUGCCUGCCUCUGCUUCCUCCUGAGUGCCAAGAUUAAAGGUGUAUGCCACAAUUCUUGGCCACACCC
rnacentral:lncRNA from 1 species